UACGGAGGGUGCAAGCGUUAAUCGGAAUUACUGGGCGUAAAGCGCACGCAGGCGGUCUUUUAAGUUUGACGUGAAAGCUCCCGGCUUAACUGGGAGAGGUCGUUGAGGACUGGGAGACUUGAGGCAAUGAGAGGGGUGUAGAAUUCCCGGUGUAGUGGUGGAAUGCGUAGAUAUCGGGGGGAAUACCAGUGGCGAAAGCGGCACCCUAGCGUUAGCCUGACGCUCAUGUGCGAAAGCGUGGGGAGCGAACGGG
rnacentral:rRNA from 1 species